ACCAUCCUCCAAGGCUAAAUACUCCUGACUGACCGAUAGUGAACCAGUACCGUGAGGGAAAGGCGAAAAGAACCCCGGCGAGGGGAGUGAAAAAGAACCUGAAACCGUGUACGUACAAGCAGUGGGAGCACGCUUAGGCGUGUGACUGCGUACCUUUUGUAUAAUGGGUCAGCGACUUAUAUUCUGUAGCAAGGUUAACCGAAUAGGGGAGCCGAAGGGAAACCGAGUCUUAACUGGGCGUUAAGUUGCAGGGUAUAGACCCGAAACCCGGUGAUCUAGCCAUGGGCAGGUUGAAGGUUGGGUAACACUAACUGGAGGACCGAACCGACUAAUGUUGAAAAAUUAGCGGAUGACUUGUGGCUGGGGGUGAAAGGCCAAUCAAACCGGGAGAUAGCUGGUUCUCCCCGAAAGCUAUUUAGGUAGCGCCUCGUGAAUUCAUCUCCGGGGGUAGAGCACUGUUUCGGCAAGGGGGUCAUCCCGACUUACCAACCCGAUGCAAACUGCGAAUACCGGAGAAUGUUAUCACGGGAGACACACGGCGGGUGCUAACGUCCGUCGUGAAGAGGGAAACAACCCAGACCGCCAGCUAAGGUCCCAAAGUCAUGGUUAAGUGGGAAACGAUGUGGGAAGGCCCAGACAGCCAGGAUGUUGGCUUAGAAGCAGCCAUCAUUUAAAGAAAGCGUAAUAGCUCACUGGUCGAGUCGGCCUGCGCGGAAGAUGUAACGGGGCUAAACCAUG
rnacentral:rRNA from 1 species